rnacentral:rRNA from 2 species
GAACGCUGGCGGCGUGCCUAAUACAUGCAAGUCGAACGAACUCUGGUAUUGAUUGGUGCUUGCAUCAUGAUUUACAUUUGAGUGAGUGGCGAACUGGUGAGUAACACGUGGGAAACCUGCCCAGAAGCGGGGGAUAACACCUGGAAACAGAUGCUAAUACCGCAUAACAACUUGGACCGCAUGGUCCGAGUUUGAAAGAUGGCUUCGGCUAUCACUUUUGGAUGGUCCCGCGGCGUAUUAGCUAGAUGGUGGGGUAACGGCUCACCAUGGCAAUGAUACGUAGCCGACCUGAGAGGGUAAUCGGCCACAUUGGGACUGAGACACGGCCCAAACUCCUACGGGAGGCAGCAGUAGGGAAUCUUCCACAAUGGACGAAAGUCUGAUGGAGCAACGCCGCGUGAGUGAAGAAGGGUUUCGGCUCGUAAAACUCUGUUGUUAAAGAAGAACAUAUCUGAGAGUAACUGUUCAGGUAUUGACGGUAUUUAACCAGAAAGCCACGGCUAACUACGUGCCAGCAGCCGCGGUAAUACGUAGGUGGCAAGCGUUGUCCGGAUUUAUUGGGCGUAAAGCGAGCGCAGGCGGUUUUUUAAGUCUGAUGUGAAAGCCUUCGGCUCAACCGAAGAAGUGCAUCGGAAACUGGGAAACUUGAGUGCAGAAGAGGACAGUGGAACUCCAUGUGUAGCGGUGAAAUGCGUAGAUAUAUGGAAGAACACCAGUGGCGAAGGCGGCUGUCUGGUCUGUAACUGACGCUGAGGCUCGAAAGUAUGGGUAGCAAACAGGAUUAGAUACCCUGGUAGUCCAUACCGUAAACGAUGAAUGCUAAGUGUUGGAGGGUUUCCGCCCUUCAGUGCUGCAGCUAACGCAUUAAGCAUUCCGCCUGGGGAGUACGGCCGCAAGGCUGAAACUCAAAGGAAUUGACGGGGGCCCGCACAAGCGGUGGAGCAUGUGGUUUAAUUCGAAGCUACGCGAAGAACCUUACCAGGUCUUGACAUACUAUGCAAAUCUAAGAGAUUAGACGUUCCCUUCGGGGACAUGGAUACAGGUGGUGCAUGGUUGUCGUCAGCUCGUGUCGUGAGAUGUUGGGUUAAGUCCCGCAACGAGCGCAACCCUUAUUAUCAGUUGCCAGCAUUAAGUUGGGCACUCUGGUGAGACUGCCGGUGACAAACCGGAGGAAGGUGGGGAUGACGUCAAAUCAUCAUGCCCCUUAUGACCUGGGCUACACACGUGCUACAAUGGAUGGUACAACGAGUUGCGAACUCGCGAGAGUAAGCUAAUCUCUUAAAGCCAUUCUCAGUUCGGAUUGUAGGCUGCAACUCGCCUACAUGAAGUCGGAAUCGCUAGUAAUCGCGGAUCAGCAUGCCGCGGUGAAUACGUUCCCGGGCCUUGUACACACCGCCCGUCACACCAUGAGAGUUUGUAACACCCAAAGUCGGUGGGGUAACCUUUUAGGAACCAGCCGCCUAAGGUGGGACAGAUGAU